rnacentral:rRNA from 1 species
GUUGAUAAGGUUAAGUGAAUAAGGGCGCACGGUGGAUGCCUUGGCACUAGGAGCCGAUGAAGGACGGGACUAACACCGAUAUGCUUUGGGGAGCUGUACGUAAGCUAUGAUCCAGAGAUUUCCGAAUGGGGGAACCCAACAUCUUUAAUAGGAUGUUACGAUUGUGUGAAUACAUAGCACAUUCGAGGUAGACGCAGAGAACUGAAACAUCUAAGUACCUGCAGGAAGAGAAAGAAAAUUCGAUUCCCUGAGUAGCGGCGAGCGAAACGGGAAAAGCCCAAACCAGCAAGCUUGCUUGUUGGGGUUGUAGGACUCCAAUAUGGUAGUUCUUUCAGAUAGUCGAAUGACUUGGAAAAGUCAGUCAAAGAGGGUAAAAACCCCGUAGACGAAAUGUGGAAGACACCUAGGAGGAUCCUGAGUACGGCGGAACACGAGAAAUUCCGUCGGAAUCCGGGAGGACCAUCUCCCAAGGCUAAAUACUCCCUAGUGACCGAUAGUGAACCAGUACCGUGAGGGAAAGGUGAAAAGCACCCCGGAAGGGGAGUGAAAUAGAACCUGAAACCGUGUGCCUACAACAAGUCAAAGCCCGUUAAUGGGUGAUGGCGUGCCUUUUGUAGAAUGAACCGGCGAGUUACGAUUGCAUGCGAGGUUAAGUUGAAGAGACGGAGCCGCAGCGAAAGCGAGUCUGAAUAGGGCGUUUGAGUAUGUAGUCGUAGACCCGAAACCAUGUGAUCUACCCAUGUCCAGGUUGAAGGUGCGGUAAAACGCACUGGAGGACCGAACCCACGUACGUUGAAAAGUGCGGGGAUGAGGUGUGGGUAGCGGAGAAAUUCCAAACGAACUUGGAGAUAGCUGGUUCUCUCCGAAAUAGCUUUAGGGCUAGCCUCGGAAUUGAGAAUGAUGGAGGUAGAGCACUGUUUGGACUAGGGGCCCAUCUCGGGUUACCGAAUUCAGAUAAACUCCGAAUGCCAUUCAUUCAUAUCCGGGAGUCAGACUGUGAGUGAUAAGAUCCAUAGUCGAAAGGGAAACAGCCCAGACCACCAGCUAAGGUCCCAAAAUAUAUGUUAAGUGGAAAAGGAUGUGGGGUUGCACAGACAACUAGGAUGUUGGCUUAGAAGCAGCCACCAUUUAAAGAGUGCGUAAUAGCUCACUAGUCGAGUGACCCUGCGCCGAAAAUGUACCGGGGCUAAACAUAUUACCGAAGCUGUGGAGUACACCUUUAGGUGUAUUGGUAGGAGAGCGUUCUAAGGGCGUUGAAGGCAGAUCGUGAGGACUGCUGGAGCGCUUAGAAGUGAGAAUGCCGGUAUGAGUAGCGAAAGACAGGUGAGAAUCCUGUCCACCGAAUGACUAAGGUUUCCUGGGGAAGGCUCGUCCGCCCAGGGUUAGUCGGGACCUAAGCCGAGGCCGACAGGCGUAGGCGAUGGAUAACAGGUUGAUAUUCCUGUACCCGUUGUUUUUGUUUGAGCAAUGGAGGGACGCAGGAGGCUAAGGAAUGCAGACGAUCGGAAAUGUCUGUCCAAGCAGUAAGUCUGAAGAGGAGUCAAAUGCUUCUUUUCUUAAGGACAAGCUGUGAUGGGGAG